GAUGACAGUGAUGUAAUUCAGCUUAAGUAUAACCAAAUUCCAUAAACUAUAGCACCUGUCAUCGCUCGUGUACAAGUAGUACUAAAUGCAAUUUACAACCUCAUCUACGCACAUACUCAUGCAAUGUUUCGGCAAUAUGACCAUACUAGCAAAGCCUCGUAGCGUAUAAUUGUAUUGUGAAUAUAAUACAAACGCAUCGAAAUUGUCAUCAUUAUCAUAAUCAACCAAAAUGGCAAGUUGUCACCUUGAUCGUAAAGGGUUACCGAGACCUAAAAACGGAGAACGGUGCGAUGGUACAAACACAGCAGCAGUACCAUUUGUGUGGGGCUAUUCGCCUUCACCGGUUGGCUCCCCAUCGGUUGAUUUUGACUCAUCGCUAUGCAAUCAAAGUGCUUUGGGGUAGCUUCAUUGUUGGAGGAAAACAUGGCGGAACGUGGGCUUACAUAAAAAAGCAUGGAAGUGGUUACACCGUUUCGCACGUUUAUCAGGUGUUAUGGUGAGUAGUAGCAUUUACACGAAUUAUUCAAGAUCUUCAAAGAAUGGUUUCCAAACAAUCGAUCUUCUGCUUACAACAAUGUCCGUGGUGAGAAGAUCUGCUUUGAUCGUAACGAUCGCAUUCAACACCUAAGCAAAUCAUGCGAUUACCUCACCUAUCUAUGCUCCUAAUGUGAAAAAGUGUCAUUGUUUGUGAUCCCCAAAACACAUCUCAUCCCGUAUGAUUAAUCACGAUCAAUCUGCUUGAUAGACUAUUUCAGAACCAGUGACGACUUCGUUCGUUCGUCUAUCGUCGACCAUGAUCGUGGGGUGCCCACCAUUUGAAGUGCUUCUCCACGGUUCGCGAGAGUCAAGAUCACAACGCCAUCUCCACCACCGAACCGGUGUGUGAACUGAGCAAAUGCAUGAGCAUGUGUUUGUGGAUUGUAAACUUGGCGCGUGCUACACCACCCCUAUUUCCGCCUAUCAGCUCAGGUAUCCAACAGGUGGUUAGAAAGGGGUAUAUGAAGGUGUCGCUUCAUGGGUAGGGGGAUGUUAGAUAGCUGGUAUGGUUUAGCUUCUUUUUUUUUCUUCUUGCCUUGUUUCGGUACUCCACGGAAAGAUGGUACCAGUCAGGUCCGUUGGUGGCACACACGAUGGUUACGCUCGAUCGCAAACCCCCGUGAGCCACAAGGUGUUGCAGACCUUGAACUUGGACGGUCACCUGUGUGGUUGUGGCUGGCCAAGGUGCAUUGAUCUAAUGUCAAGGGAUGUUGUGUGAUGUGGACGCUUAUCGUCAGCCGCAAGGUGUAUUGCGAAGGAAACAGCUGUUUGGUGGCUUCACGAGUCAUCUACACAGCCUUUUGACGUUCUGUCAAGCGACACUAAAUGUUAGUUCGCUAACGAAGCUUAAUAAGCCAUUGCUAAGUAGCAUUGAAUAUGCUAAUUAUGAACUCGUGGAUAAAUGUUUGCAGUUUUUCUCACAUUUUGUGAAUGAGUAGAUGCUUAGAUUUGAGGUCAAAUUUUGGGCAGGGUAGUUUGGGAGAGAAAAAAUUAGGAUAAAAUAAAAUUAAUGGUGUCGAUGAUCCACACACGAUUUUAAUUCAA